UACCAGUGCCUUUCAACCAUAGUAUCUGAGUGCCUUUUUAUAAAUCUGAUUGACGGCAAUUCCAAAGUGCCUAAUGGCUUUCAUGAAGUCUCUGGCUCUUCUUCCUUUUUGGAUUAUAGAAAAUUCUGCUUGGGAGAAAUAAAGGAGGUGAACAAGUGUUCCUCUUUCAAGGGUAAAGUCAAGGAAGAAACUCCCAAUAAAAUGGAUCAUUAUCUCCCAUGUGGACUGAAACAGGACAACUUCCUAUUCCCAUAUGGAAUGAAACAUAAUAUUUCCACAAGGACUGAACUUCUUAAGAGUCCUUAAUGCUGCUUUUCUUCAACUGACUGACCAGUGCAGUUCCUAUGGAUAACAUUAAUAUGGAGAGUGAGAACCCUGUCACGCGGUGCUGAGGAAGCACUUCCUACUGACCUUUCUCUUUGUGCACACAUCUUGUGGUGGCUGGGUGUCACCUUCUCCUGCAUCAUCUUCUUUCAGCUAGCAGCAUCCAGGAACUCUGGAGAAUGGGAGAAGGGAGAGCUUCGAAAUAGCUGUCUGUUACCAGGAGAAUAGGUUUUCCUAUCACUGAUACAGGUAGCCUGCUCCAAUGGUCCCUGAACUCAAUGAAAAGAUUCUCAUGGACUUGAAUGGAUGCUGGAACAGGGCCAAAAUGAGGAUUUCAUUUAUAAAGCAGUGCAACUUAGUUGAACAGCUUUUCAGACAAAGCAGUUAGAAAAAGUCCUUUCCUUCAGGAAUUUAAGGGUAUCUUGAUGAGGAAAGCCAACAAGGAGUGACAGAGGCAGAUGCCGGGGAACCAUGAAUGAAAGGAACGGGGGAAUGAAAAGGCAUCAAGCUGUGGGGAUAGAGGGACAGCUGUGGCAGAAAGUUAGAGGCAUCCACAUCUUGGACACUCAAAGAAGAGG